GACAGGUGGCGGAGUGGUUAAACGCACCAGACUGUAAAUCUGGCGCUCCUAGCGGGCUACGGAGGUUCGAAUCCUCCCCUGUCCA
rnacentral:tRNA from 1 species